rnacentral:lncRNA from 1 species
CCCUGGCCAAACCUCCAUCAUUCCAGAAUCUCUUCAUAACAACAGACACAUGUGCCCAGCAAUAAUCCGCCCUCCCUGUGUGUGCCCAUGGGGAGCGUGUGUGUGUGUGUGUGUGUGUGUGUGUGUAACUGUGUGUGAAGGGGGCAAGGUAAGGCUGUGCCUGUGCCCCAGGUCCCAGCCCUGGUCCUUCCCAGACUGUGAUGACCACCCUGGUCCCAGUGUUAGGGUAACAUGGGAUUAUAGGGCCCUAGAUUUUCCACAUUUAAAGCCAAUUUUUAUUACUCAUUUUGUCCAUUGUAAGCUGCCACGUGUCUCUGUGAAUACAGUCUGAGCACAAACCUAAAAAAAAGAAAAAAGAAAAGAAAAGG